rnacentral:rRNA from 1 species
UACGAGGGGUCCUAGCGUUGUUCGGAAUCAUUGGGCGUAAAGAGUAUGUAGGCGGCCAAAUAAGUCAGGUGUGAAAUCCCCGGGCUCAACCCGGGAAGUGCAUUUGAUACUGUUUGGCUUGAGUAUGGAAGAGGGUAGUGGAAUUCCUGGUGUAGUGGUGAAAUGCGCAGAUAUCAGGAGGAACACCCGUAGCGAAGGCGGCACUCUGGGCCGAUACUGACACUGAGGAGCGAAAGCGUGGGGAGCGAACGAGG